rnacentral:rRNA from 1 species
UACGUAGGGCGCAAGCGUUGUCCGGAAUUAUUGGGCGUAAAGAGCUCGUAGGCGGCUUGUCACGUCGGGUGUGAAAGACCGGGGCUUAACCCCGGUUCUGCAUUCGAUACGGGCUGGCUAGAGUGUGGUAGGGGAGAUCGGAAUUCCUGGUGUAGCGGUGAAAUGCGCAGAUAUCAGGAGGAACACCGGUGGCGAAGGCGGAUCUCUGGGCCUUACCUGACGCUCAGGCGCGAAAGCUAGGGGAGCGAACUGG